ensembl:snoRNA LOC120094497 small nucleolar RNA SNORA17
CCUAACCCUGAAAGCUUUGCAUUUGUGACUGCUGUGUCACAUGUGUUUCAGUAGGUGGCAGAAAGGACAGAAGCUAUAUCUACUCUUAGUGUUCUGACCUAAAAACAGCUAAAUGAUUAGUAGCCUAAAAUU